rnacentral:lncRNA from 1 species
UGCAUUUUUCCUGGAUGUGUGGAUCUGACAUCAGCCACGUUCGUAUUGCCACGCUCAGCUGAGACACCAAGGUGCAGGAUUUCAGCUGGCAUGAAUCCAACCAGAUCAGCACUGCAGAGCCAGCUGAGCUUAAUUGAACUGUGCUGGAAAUCUAAAAGUGAUGAAGCUGCCAGGGAAACAACACAGGUUCCUGCAAUAGAGAAGACCCAGUGACAGGAAGAGCCUCAAAAUGUUUUGUUCUGCUCAAUUGCCAAGAACAGAACAAAGCCACGCAGUUGAGCAGGAGAUCUGGUUUGCACAAUCGUACCUAUGGAGAAGCACUCAGAGGUUGGGAGAUGGUUAUCACCAACCACGUGUCAACAUCUUCAAAACUCAUCUUGAUGAACUCCAUAAUGAAGGAGGUUAUCAUCCAGGAGUUAUACCCAGCUUGUUUUUAAACCUGCAAAGGGAAGAUACUGUGAACAAAGCAGUGAUGGCUCUUAGGUUCCUCCCCAGCCACCAGGAGAGGAGUGGGGCUGUUUUGGAUCACCUGAGCACAGAUAAUGGACAGAGCUCUUCACCUCACAUCUGUCACUGAGGUCUACAUGUGGUUGCUAAGCCUCCCUUAUCACAUGGAAGGGUGGAGACAGGGCAGCAGUUUUCUCUGGAAAAGAGACAGAUGAUCAUGCCAAGUUGUGGAGAAGUACUGGCAAUGGCUUCGCUGGGGAGAGAUUGAGACACCCUUUCGACAGGAGCCAACACCCAUUUUGAGAUGAAAAAUGUCCAUCC